CAUGAUGAACAUAAUAUAAUGAUUUCCCUUCUUUUUUCGCAUUUGCUUAAUAAUACAUACAUCAUAUGAAG
rnacentral:sRNA from 1 species